rnacentral:rRNA from 1 species
GUGGGGAAUAUUCCGCAAUGGACGAAAGUCUGACGGAGCAACGCCGCGUGAGUGAUGAAGGUUUUCGGACUGUAAAGCUCUGUUGUUUAGGACGAAAGUGCCUGUUGCGAAUAGUUACAGGUAUUGACGGUACUGAACGAGGAAGCCACGGCUAACUACGUGCCAGCAGCCGCGGUAAUACGUAGGUGGCAAGCGUUGUCCGGAAUUAUUGGGCGUAAAGAGCAUGUAGGCGGGAAUCUAAGUCUGUUGUGAAAAUGCGGGGCUCAACCCCGUAUUGCGAUGGAAACUGGGUUUCUUGAGUGCAGGGGAGGAAAGGGGAAUUCCCAGUGUAGCGGUGAAAUGCGUAGAUAUUGGGAGGAACACCAGUGGCGAAGGCGCCUUUCUGGACUGUGUCUGACGCUGAGAUGCGAAAGCCAGGGUAGCGAACGGGAUUAGAAACCCGAGUAGUCC